GAUGAACGCUGGGGGCGUGCCUAAUACAUGCCAGUCGAGCGAACAGACGAGGAGCUUGCUCCUCUGACGUUAGCGGCGGACGGGUGAGUAACACGUGGAUAACCUACCUAUAAGACUGGGAUAACUUCGGGAAACCGGAGCUAAUACCGGAUAAUAUAUUGAACCGCAUGGUUCAAUAGUGAAAGACGGUUUUGCUGUCACUUAUAGAUGGAUCCGCGCCGCAUUAGCUAGUUGGUAAGGUAACGGCUUACCAAGGCGACGAUGCGUAGCCGACCUGAGAGGGUGAUCGGCCACACUGGAACUGAGACACGGUCCAGACUCCUACGGGAGGCAGCAGUAGGGAAUCUUCCGCAAUGGGCGAAAGCCUGACGGAGCAACGCCGCGUGAGUGAUGAAGGUCUUCGGAUCGUAAAACUCUGUUAUUAGGGAAGAACAAAUGUGUAAGUAACUAUGCACGUCUUGACGGUACCUAAUCAGAAAGCCACGGCUAACUACGUG
rnacentral:rRNA from 1 species